AGAGUUUGAUCCUGGCUCAGGACGAACGCUGGCGGCGUGCCUAAUACAUGCAAGUAGAACGCUGAAGAGAGGAGCUUGCUCUUCUUGGAUGAGUUGCGAACGGGUGAGUAACGCGUAGGUAACCUGCCUUGUAGCGGGGGAUAACUAUUGGAAACGAUAGCUAAUACCGCAUAACAAUGGAUGACCCAUGUCAUUUAUUUGAAAGGGGCAAAUGCUCCACUACAAGAUGGACCUGCGUUGUAUUAGCUAGUAGGUGAGGUAACGGCUCACCUAGGCGACGAUACAUAGCCGACCUGAGAGGGUGAUCGGCCACACUGGGACUGAGACACGGCCCAGACUCCUACGGGAGGCGGCAGUAGGGAAUCUUCGGCAAUGGGGGCAACCCUGACCGAGCAACGCCGCGUGAGUGAAGAAGGUUUUCGGAUCGUAAAGCUCUGUUGUAAGUCAAGAACGAGUGUGAGAGUGGAAAGUUCACACUGUGACGGUAGCUUAUCAGAAAGGGACGGCUAACUACGUGCCAGCAGCCGCGGUAAUACGUAGGUCCCGAGCGUUGUCCGGAUUUAUUGGGCGUAAAGCGAGCGCAGGCGGUUUGAUAAGUCUGAAGUUAAAGGCUGUGGCUCAACCAUAGUUCGCUUUGGAAACUGUCAAACUUGAGUGCAGAAGGGGAGAGUGGAAUUCCAUGUGUAGCGGUGAAAUGCGUAGAUAUAUGGAGGAACACCGGUGGCGAAAGCGGCUCUCUGGUCUGUAACUGACGCUGAGGCUCGAAAGCGUGGGGAGCGAACAGGAUUAGAUACCCUGGUAGUCCACGCCGUAAACGAUGAGUGCUAGGUGUUGGAUCCUUUCCGGGAUUCAGUGCCGCAGCUAACGCAUUAAGCACUCCGCCUGGGGAGUACGACCGCAAGGUUGAAACUCAAAGGAAUUGACGGGGGCCCGCACAAGCGGUGGAGCAUGUGGUUUAAUUCGAAGCAACGCGAAGAACCUUACCAGGUCUUGACAUCCCGAUGCUAUUUCUAGAGAUAGAAAGUUACUUCGGUACAUCGGUGACAGGUGGUGCAUGGUUGUCGUCAGCUCGUGUCGUGAGAUGUUGGGUUAAGUCCCGCAACGAGCGCAACCCCUAUUGUUAGUUGCCAUCAUUCAGUUGGGCACUCUAGCGAGACUGCCGGUAAUAAACCGGAGGAAGGUGGGGAUGACGUCAAAUCAUCAUGCCCCUUAUGACCUGGGCUACACACGUGCUACAAUGGUUGGUACAACGAGUUGCGAGUCGGUGACGGCAAGCUAAUCUCUUAAAGCCAAUCUCAGUUCGGAUUGUAGGCUGCAACUCGCCUACAUGAAGUCGGAAUCGCUAGUAAUCGCGGAUCAGCACGCCGCGGUGAAUACGUUCCCGGGCCUUGUACACACCGCCCGUCACACCACGAGAGUUUGUAACACCCGAAGUCGGUGAGGUAACCUUUUGGAGCCAGCCGCCUAAGGUGGGAUAGAUGAUUGGGGUGAAGUCGUAACAAGGUA
rnacentral:rRNA from 1 species